AUUGAACGCUGGCGGCACGCUUAACACAUGCAAGUCGAGCGGUAACAUGACUAGUAGCAAUACUAGUUGAUGACGAGCGGCGGACGGGUGAGUAACACGUAGGAACUUGCCCAGUAGUGGGGGACAACCAAGGGAAACUUUGGCUAAUACCGCAUAUUCUCGAGAGAGGAAAGCUGCCGCAAGGUGGCGCUAUUGGAGAGGCCUGCGUCCGAUUAGCUAGUUGGUUAGGUAAAGGCUCACCAAGGCGAGGAUCGGUAACUGGUCUGAGAGGACUACCACUCACGCUGGGAACGAGACACGGCCCAGACUCCUACGGGAGGCAGCAGUGGGGAAUCUUGGACAAUGGGGGCAACCCUGAUCCAGCGAUGCCGCGUGAGUGAAGAAGGCCUUCGGGUCGUAAAGCUCUUUAGGCUGGGAAGAAGUUUGGUAGUUUAAGAGAUAAUCAAUUUGACUGUACCAGCAGAAUAAGCACCGGCAAACUCUGUGCCAGCAGCCGCCGUAA
rnacentral:rRNA from 1 species